rnacentral:rRNA from 1 species
AUUGAACGCUGGCGGCAGGCCUAACACAUGCAAGUCGAACGAGUGGCGGACGGGUGAGUAAUGUCUGGGAAACUGCCUGAUGGAGGGGGAUAAAUACUGGAAACGGUAGCUAAUACCGCAUACCAUCGGAUGUGCCCAGAUGGUAUUCGCUAGUAGGUGGGGUAAAGGCACACCUAGGCGACGAUCCCUAGCUGGUCUGAGAGGAUGCCCAGCCACACUGGAACUGAGAAACGGUCCAGACUCCUACGGGAGGCAGCAGUGGGGAAUAUUGCACAAUGGGCGCAAGCCUGAUGCAGCCAUGCCGCGUGUAUGAAGAAGGCCUUCGGGUUGUAAAGUACUUUCAGCGGGGAGGCGUUACCCGCAGAAGAAGCACCGGCUAACUCCGUGCCAGCCGCCGCGGUAAUUC